CAUCCCGCCCCCAUCUGAGGUGACGGGAAAGGGUUGGGGAAUUUCCACUCUUGAUUAAAAUGACGGCCGAGGUGACGACCUGCAAGAAUUGGUGAGAUUUGGAGUGAAUUCACCCAGCGCUUAGUGAGGCUCUUACGUCAGUGGUGCAAGAGGCGCGGAGGUAACGCAGUCCCCACCUGUCGCUCUCUGCCAGGCGCGGAGAGUUGCUGCACGCGGAUUGGAGGGAAGAAGCUGUCAGUCUCAGAUAAAGAAGAUGAUGAUGACUUCACCCUAUGUGUUUGGUUUCAAACAGCAAUGGGGGGAACUUAGCCAAUAUAGAACAUUACAUGCCCCCAGAAUUUUCCAUUGCAACUGGUGGGGACUCGGGCUCUUGGGCUUGGAGAGACAUGGCGAGGUGGAGCCCCAAAGAGUUCAUUUCAUCAAGGGAAAAAAUUCCAGGCUUUUGCAGAUCAAGAAACUGGAUUUCAGAGAGGCUAAGUAACUUGCCCAUUACCUCUCUUACCACUCUUCUCUCUCACAUUCCUCUCUGCUCUCUCUGUUCCUGCUAUACUGGCCCCCUUUCCUUUCCUCACUAUGUCCAAAUUUACUUCUACCCCUUGCAAGGCCUUUUGCUUUGCUAUUCCCUCCACUUAUGUUUCUCUUUUUUUCCCCCCGACCAGGGAUUAAACCUGGACUGCCAGAGAAUUCCCUAUUCCCUCCACCUAAAAUGCUCUUCCCUGACAUCCCUCUCACUACUCACGCUUCUCACUACUCAUGUCAUGACACCCCAGAAACCAGCCAAUCUAAAGUAGACCCCUGGGGACUUCCCUGGUGGCUGAGUGGUUAAGAAUCCACCUGCCAAUGCAGGGGACAUGGGUUCGAGCCCUGGUCCGGGAAGAUCCCACA